rnacentral:rRNA from 1 species
GAUGAACGCUGGCGGCGUGCCUAAUACAUGCAAGUCGAGCGAACGGACGAGAAGCUUGCUUCUCUGAUGUUAGCGGCGGACGGGUGAGUAACACGUGGAUAACCUACCUAUAAGACUGGGAUAACUUCGGGAAACCGGAGCUAAUACCGGAUGAUAUUUUGAACCGCAUGGUUCAAAAGUGAAAGACGGUCUUGCUGUCACUUAUAGAUGGAUCCGCGCUGCAUUAGCUAGUUGGUAAGGUAACGGCUUACCAAGGCAACGAUGCAUAGCCGACCUGAGAGGGUGAUCGGCCACACUGGAACUGAGACACGGUCCAGACUCCUACGGGAGGCAGCAGUAGGGAAUCUUCCGCAAUGGGCGAAAGCCUGACGGAGCAACGCCGCGUGAGUGAUGAAGGUCUUCGGAUCGUAAAACUCUGUUAUUAGGUAAGAACAUAUGUGUAAGUAACUGUGCACAUCUUGACGGUACCUAAUCAGAAAGCCACGGCUAACUACGUG